GAUGAACGCUGGCGGCGUGCUUAACACAUGCAAGUCGAACGGAAAGGCCCUGCUUUUGUGGGGUGCUCGAGUGGCGAACGGGUGAGUAACACGUGAGUAACCUGCCCUUGACUUUGGGAUAACUUCAGGAAACUGGGGCUAAUACCGGAUAGGAGCUCCUGCAGCAUGGUGGGGGUUGGAAAGUUUCGGCGGUUGGGGCUGGACUCGCGGCUUAUCAGCUUGUUGGUGGGGUAGUGGCUUACCAAGGCUUUGACGGGUAGCCGGCCUGGGAGGGUGACCGGCCACAUUGGGACUGCGAUACGGCCCAGACGCCUACGGGAGGCAGCAGUGGGGAAUAUUGCACAAUGGGCGGAAGCCUGAUGCAGCAACGCCGCGUGCGUGAUGACGGCCUUCGGGUUGUAAACCGCUUUCGCCUGUGACGAAGCGUGAGUGACGGUAAUGGGUAAAGAAGCACCGGCUAACUACGUG
rnacentral:rRNA from 1 species